GAUGAACGCUGGCGGCGUGCCUAAUACAUGCAAGUCGAGCGAACGGACGAGAAGCUUGCUUUUCUGAUAUUAGUGGCGGACGGGUGAGUAACACGUGGAUAACCUACCUAUAAGACUGGGAUAACUUCGGGAAACCGGAGCUAAUACCGGAUAACAUUUUGAACCGCAUGGUUCAAAAGUGAAAGACGGACUUGCUGUCACAUAUAGAUGACUUCCGGCUUCUUUACCAAGUUGGUAAGGAAACGGCUUACCAAGGCAACAGUGCAUAGCCGACCGGAGGGGGUGAUCGGCCACACUGGAACUGAGCCACGCUCCGGACUCCUACGGGAGGCGGCAUUAGGGAAUCUUCGGCAAUGGGCGAAAGCCUGACGGAGCAACGCCGCGUGAGGAAGGAAGGUCUUCGGAUCGUAAGACUCUGUUAUUGGGGAGGAACAUAUGUGUAAGUAACUGUGCACAUCUUGACGGUACCUAAUCAGAAAGCCACGGCUAACUACGUG
rnacentral:rRNA from 1 species